CUGUGGGCGUUGGCAGAAGUACUGGACUUAGCGGGCGCUAGGGCUUCAGCUCAUUCUGCUAUGUCCGCAU
rnacentral:pre_miRNA from 1 species